UGUAUGUGAGGAUAGAAAGAUGGCUAUCGCGCACGAAAGUGUCAAGGGUAGGAAUGUAAAUUCUGAUGAGAUGUGGGAACUAUCGCCCCAUCAUAUACA
ncrna:unclassified sequences skipping-rope RNA